GGUGGCUCAGUGGUAGAGUUCUUGCCUCGCAUGCAUGAGGCUCUGGGUUCAAUUCCUCAGCACCA
rnacentral:tRNA from 1 species